CGAAAAAUAACGAUACGGGACUCAUCCGAGGCCCCGUAAUCGGAAUGAGUACACUCUAAACCCUUUAACGAGGAUCAAUUGGAGGGCAAGUCUGGUGCCAGCAGCCGCGGUAAUUCCAGCUCCAAUAGCGUAUAUUAAAGUUGUUGCGGUUAAAAAGCUCGUAGUCGAAUUUGUGUCCCGCGCCGCCGGUUCAUCGCUCGCGGUGUCAACUGGCGUGUCCGCGGGACGUCCUGCCGGUGGGCUUAGCCCCUGCGGGGGCGGCCCAAUCUCAAUCCCACCGCGGUGCUCUUCACUGAGUGUCGAGGUGGGCCGGCACGUUUACUUUGAACAAAUUAGAGUGCUUAAAGCAGGCUAAAACAUCGCCUGAAUACUGUGUGCAUGGAAUAAUGGAAUAGGACCUCGGUUCUAUUUUGUUGGUUUUCGGAACCCCGAGGUAAUGAUUAAUAGGAACGGAUGGGGGCAUUCGUAUUGCGACGUUAGAGGUGAAAUUCUUGGAUCGUCGCAAGACGGACAGAAGCGAAAGCAUUUGCCAAAAACGUUUUCAUUGAUCAAGAACGAAAGUUAGAGGUUCGAAGGCGAUCAGAUACCGCCCUAGUUCUAACCAUAAACGAUGCCAGCUAGCGAUCCGCCGACGUUCCUCCGAUUGACUCGGCGGGCAGCUUCCGGGAAACCAAAGCUUUUUGGGUUCCGGGGGAAGUAUGGUUGCAAAGCUGAAACUUAAAGGAAUUGACGGAAGGGCACCACCAGGAGUGGAGCCUGCGGCUUAAUUUGACUCAACACGGGAAACCUCACCAGGCCCGGACACCGGAAGGAUUGACAGAUUGAGAG
rnacentral:rRNA from 1 species